rnacentral:lncRNA from 1 species
GGGAAUACAGAAUGAUAACCUUUGGGACAAAAGUGAAUGAGGCCAGGUAGUUCUUCAAGUGAUAACCAUUUUAAUUUAUCAAAUUUCAUCUCCUCUUUAGCUACCACUUCCACUUUUUCUUCUAAUUCGAAUACUUGUUCCAAUUUAGAAUUUCUUUCUACUAUGAGCCUUUCAAGCUUUGGAAGAACAGGAGCAAAUCCAAAAGGAAAGAGACUGCUCAAAUUUUUACAAUCUAUAACAACGAUCUCAGUCAAAUUUGGAAAGCUCAUAGGUUGAAGGCUGGUAUCACCAUUUGAUGAUGAUGAAGAAACUUGAUCCUUGGCUAAAAUGAGUCGUUCUAUUUCCUCACACCCCUCGAUGAAAAGACCCUUCAAAUGUGAUAAACUGCGAGCCAUCAUAAGUGAAAAUAUAUAUCUUAGCUUCUUGCAAUCUCUCAGUGUUAGAGUUGUAAGGUUCUCAAGGGUUACAACUUGAGCAAAAUCGUUCCAUAUAAUCUGCACUUCAAAUAAAUUCCUCAAUUCCAAUAUUUUUAUGCUUGAGAACGAGUACCCGCCUUGAACUUGAAAUACUUCUUCAUGAUUCCCAACUACUAUACAACCUUCAUUCAAUACAGGAACAUCAGUGUUGCAUAAUUGGCGGCUAUUUCCCACGUUACUAAGAGUCAAUCCCUGCAUACACAGAAAUCCUAAUAAAUGUCAUAAAAACACACUAGAGUAAAUGUUACCCAUAAGUCUUCAUAAUUUUACAUAUUCCAAGUAAUAGAAAAUACUACUCUAAUCUCAAUGCUACCUGUAUCUUUGAUUUUUUUAAAGGAUAUAUUUUUUAAAUCUAAACCCCUAAAAUAUCUACCAAAUUAAUUAAACACAAAAGGCCAUUGCUUGAUAUUUACAAACAAUGUAUAAAAGAGGUAUGAAUUAUCACAUGAACUAAGCAACAUAUCGAUUUUUUGAUUUGCUAUAGUGCCAAAAUCCAUAUAUAAAAUGCGAACAAUCUAAAUACCUCUAUGAGUUGAGCUUGUACAAUGAAGCAUGAGAAUUGGGGACAAUUUGACACUUCUAAAUCUUGCAGAAAGGGCACAUUAAGUAGAAUGUGAUCACCAAUCACAUCCCUUUCUUCCUUCGAACUGAAGAAUUGUAGUAGUUGAGGGCAGUUCCCUAGGUAGACAGAUUCCAACAAUGGAAAUCCCUGAGAUAAAGUGUUUGCAAAGACAUAUUUCAAUCGUUGGCAAUCCACUAUCCAGAGAGUUUUCAAUUUUGUCCAGCAAUGAUUCUACAUGAAUGAACCACAUAUUUAGAUAUUAUGCAAAAUAUAUGUGUUUAAAUAAAAGUGAGGAAUAUGAUUUAUUAAACAUAAUUUAAGUUUUAAAGAAUUUCUUUAUCAAAACAUAUGAAUAAGAAAUAAAUUGAUCUUCUAACGUAUCAGUUAUAAAGAAAUGUAUUUAUCAUAUUUCGCAACUGUGAUACUCCAACCACUUUAAAAUAAUUAAUUAUGACUAUUAAAAAAUAAAAAUACAAUAUUCAUGGUAAUAGCCGAUGAGAGAGACAGAAUUCUAAUUGCUGAUUCAAUUUUAAAAUAAAUGAAUUAUAAAUAACUUUUAAAAUAAGGUUGAAAUAUUAAUUAUUUUAUGAACAUAAAAAUGAAUUUGAGUCCAAAUACCUGUAAUCCAAAUCCAUCCUUAUUUUUUUCCAUGUUGAAGAUUUGUAUAAGUCGAGGACAAUCUUCUAUCUCAAUAGAUUCCAGGUAGGGAAGUCCUUGACUUGAACACAAAUAUUUCAAGUUUUCACAUCCUCCAAUGUUGACAUCUUUCAAUUUUGGCAAGAACAGAGGAGACUGAUCUUUUAUGUUUGAAACAUCUAUUUCAUCCAUGUUUUCUGAUUCUCUGAUUAAAUGAUCUAAAGAGUUGCAAUUCCGAAUCUCGAGAUAUUGCAAAUGCACCAAAGUUCGAGCAGUGAAUUCCGAAAAGAGAUAUGUGAAUUCAUCACAUUCAGUUAUCUUUACACUAUGGAGGUUAGGGUAAUGGUACUUCAAUUCUGGCAAUGGUUUUAACUCCGAAAGAGUUAAAUUUGUCAGAGGUUCCUGUCAUCCAAUAAUAUUUGUUAGUUUAAUCUAACCACUAAAAUAAAUUGAUUGUACAAUGAUAUACACACUAAUUUUAAUAUCUCACAUAUAUUAUCAAAGCAAAACAAAAAUUAUAAUAAGGUAAAUUAAUUCAAUAAAUUUCUAAAAUAUAAUUAAAAUAAUAAUUAUUAUAUUACAUUAAAAUAAAAUAUAAAAAACAUAUUAAAGCGUAACAUCAUGAGAAAAUAAAUAUAUAAUAUUUCUCUAUUUUAAUUUUUAGUAUACAAAUAAUAAAGAGCGUGGCUCUUGAACAAAAGCUAGAGGCUGCAUCGGUUUGUUUGAAUACUUAGAAUUUCAAAAAUCAAUAAAUUACAAUUAUAAAAAGUAAUAAUAUGUAAACAUAUAUAUAUAUAUAUGUAACAUUCAUUAAAAAUACUCUAUGAAUUUUAAAAUAUUUAUCAUUAAAAGUCAUUCAAUGAGUUGUCAAUAUAAUAAAUAUGGAGAUCAUCUCUAUAUUGAUUUGGUGCUCUAGGGAGUAGGCACUCCCUCGAACACCAAAAUGCUAGUUUCAUAUUUUUUAAUAAUAUCAAACCGACCUUGUAAGUUAGCAAUCCAAGGAUAGAAGAAAGGUGUGGCAUGAAAUUAAUUGAAGGCUUUUCUAUAAAGAAAUAAAAUCUAAAUAAAAAGGAGAGACACAACAAUUCAUGAUGCAGUUUAUAAGCCUAUAAAUAGGUUUAAUAUAUUUGUGAUAUGUAUAAGCGAGCGUGUGGAUGAGAAGAAAAAGGAAAAGUGUAAUGUGACUCUGUGUGCAUGAAAGUGGAAAUAAGCAAAGAGUGAAUGGUGUGUAUAACUAGUUGUAGGUAGUAAUUGAAAGGAAGAGGAAAAUAUAUUUGUAUUUUGCAUUGGUGUAUUUGUUUUGAGUAAUAAAAGCUACUUUCUUUAGUGGUCACUACGCUUCCAACAAACCCGAUACACAUAAAUAAUAUAAAAAAAAAUACCAAACCAAGCACUUCACUACAAAUUGGUUUUUGAUUUUCUUGCAAUUUGUUUCAUCCUUAAAAGAAUGCUAUCAUAAAGCUAAAACAAUUAAGAGAUUAAAAAAAUUGGAGAGAAUAGGUAUCCCUACCUCAAUAAUCUCGUCUUCUUGGCCAAAACCAAUGACUUGCUCCAGUCGAUCGCAGUGCCUUACAUAAAGUUCUUGUAGAUGCAACAUACUUAAAGCUAGGCAAGGUGAGAAGAUUGUUUUCAGAUUAUCACAAUAUUUAAUUCUCACAACCUUUAGACUUUGGAGGCUUGCAAUUGCACGAUGUGAUGGCUUUACUUCCCAUAUCCUCUUCAAUUUCGGCAAUGAAUGUAGGCUCAAUUCUGUUAAAUUUGAAAGUUUAUCUAUUUGAAAUAUCACUUGUAACUCCUUACAAUCUCUAAUGAUCACUCGCUUAAGGUUUUGCAAGAACCUAGUCGGAGAAACACCAUAGCACAACCCUUUCAAAGAAACCAUGCUUUCUAUAUUUAAUUCCACCAAAGUAGAGAAUGCAACAGUUGACCCUUGAUCAUUUUUUGUAUCAAUCAAGAAUUCCAGAUCAUUGCAAGAUUCUAGAUGCAGAGAAGUCAACUCAUUUACUCCCAUUUCAUCUAUGCUUGGCACAAUAUUCUUUUGUCCACCAACAUUCCUCAAAUUCAACUCUUCCACAUUGCAAAAUAAAUUGUUAAAUGCACUUAAUGAAGAUGAGAAAUCUUGAAUAUCCAAUGUUCUAAUAAACGCCUCCCGAUUAAUACCAUAAUUUUCUCCAACUACUAUAGCGUACCUUUGUAGUUUGGGGAGCACAAAAUCUUCUAGAGGAAUUUGAUUAGUAGAAAGUCUCAGUGAUAGUGCAGUUAAACGAGACAAUGACUUCAACUCCAAUAAGUUGAGAUUAUUUUUGGGUAUGACAUGUAACUCUUGUAGUGAAGUCAACCUAUUAUAUUCAUAAAGAAAGUAGCAUUAAUUGAAAAUUUAUGUGACACAAUCCACAUUCCAUGAGGUAAAAAAAUUGUAAUUCGUUAAAGUAAUUCAUUAAAAAAAUAUGUGUAAAAAAAAGGUCAAAAACUUGAUAUAAAUCAAGAUAAGUAAUAAAAGGACGCUAUUAAAAUUAAAUAAAAGAAUCUCUAAAUUUUUUUAUCACUUUCAAAGAAAUUUUCAAGAGGUUAACUUUUUUUCUUCUUUUUAACAAAUCUCAAAAUUUCUGGGUCUAAAACAUAAGUAAAUUUUCUGUUUUUUUAUAAUAAUUUUUUUCACUCUCAAAUUUUAUAAGAAAGCCAUUUUACCCUUCUAUUUAAAUUUUCACAUUUUAUAACCCUUAAAUUUGUGGGUUUUUUUUUGUCAAAUCAUCUCAAAAUGAAUAGAAAAGUUAAUGCUUUAAAAUUUUGCUGAUGUUGAUAUGCGUGGAUUGACACAUGAAUAACACAUUAUCCAUAAUAUAUAUAUUAAAACAUAUCUAAUAGUAAAAAAAUCAAGUAUUUAUCUUGAUGUUUUAUUAAAAUUUAAAGUCUUUAUUGUAUUAAACUUCCUUAAUUAAUUUUUGUUGAAUAUUAUAUAUAUAUUAUAUUUACUUUAAUAUAUAUAUAACACUUAAUUAUAGUUAAUAAAUUUUUUUAUUUUCUUUGGCAACCCACAUAUCUAUCCACAUAUACUUCAGAAAUUACAUUAUUUGUCUUAUAUGUCAAGUCAACAAAUAAUUAAAUCUAACGCACUCUUACCUUGAUACCAAGCCAGGGGGGAAAUUGAUUCCUUCGUCCGUUCGAGAAUCAUAAAAAUAUUCAGGUAUGAUGUGCCUAAAAAUGAUAAAAUUUUGAUUUAAUUAUUUAAAAAUUAUAAAGAUAUAGGCUAUUCAAAUGGUAAAAUUACAUUUUUACUAUCGUAAAAAUUAAAAUUUAAUUUCGGCUCCCUCUAACAAAAUUUUUUGUCUUCGCCCCUGCGCACGUGUCAAUCCAUCUGUACUUCAUGUAGAUAUUACACUAUUUGUCUUAUAUGUCAAGUCAAAUAAUUUAAAAUUUAUAAAAAUAUGCAAAAAAGAUAAAAAAAUUGAAAUUCAAAAAAUAUAAAAAAAUUAUAAAACUAAAAAAUAUAUAUAGCAUGAAGUAAAUAUGUAUUGUCAUGCUGAAUUUCAUGUUUAAAAACUUAACAUUUUAGUUAGUAUUUCCAUUAAAAAAUAAUUCAACAUUUUUUUAAAAUGUUGAUGCUCAAAUUCGAUUUUUUUAAAGGUUCAGAACUAAAUUUAACUAAAAAAUCAAAAAAAGGACUAAAUUGAUAAAUAAUACAAAUGUUAAGAACUAAAUUUUAAAUUGUUUUAAUACUUAUUGCCUUGACUAUUUGACAUAUUUACUGUGAUAUCUUCACGUGCAAGGAACAUGAAUUCUAAAAUAAAUAAAUAAAAUACCUAUUAAAAUAAUUAAUAGGAAAAUAAAUGAUGUCAAACAAAAUACGAAUAUGAUAAAAAGAAAAUUAAAUCUGAUGCACUCUUACCUUGAUACCAUGUUUGGUAAUUCUUCAGCGAUUUCAACUACACCAGAAAGACGUAAAUAUUUCAGUGCAGACAACUUCACUAAUUCUUCACUUAUCUCAUCAAUUUCAGUGCCAGUCAAUGAAAGAAUUGUUAACAUUAAUGGGAGACAACAUUAAUGGCAAACAAUACAAAGUGGUGCAAGUUUAGCACCCUAAAGUUGACUUUGAAAAAGUGGCAUGGGAUAAUUUUUUUUUGGUCCUUGAGAUAAUGGGCUAUUUAUUGUUUGGUCCUUGAACCUCAACUAUAAAUAGGCCUUCUCAUUUCUCAUUUCAAUCAUCCCAACCAAUCUUUCUCUCUUAAUUUUCUCUCUUCUCCCAUUUGAGAAUUCUUAAGGAAUUCUAUUUGUUUGUAAUAUUUUGGAGAUAGUAAAGUUAUCAUCUGGUGUUAGUGCCCGAGGACGUAGGUAUAAUUUACCGAACCUCGUUAAAACUCUUGUGUUCUUUCUUGUCCUAUUUUUCUUUCAAUAUUUGAGGGUAUAAUAGUAGUAUUUAAUUGUUCUAUUAAAUUACUAUAGAAGGGAUAUUCUGUCUAAGGAAAGACUUGGUAUUUAAGAGAUCCAUGUGAUCCACCUCUCUUUCCUGGGAAUUGAACUUUGUGUGAUUUUUUAGUACAAUAAUUUACACGCUUCCGACCCUAUUGGAACAACAAGUGGUAUCAAGAGUCGAAGGUUAAUCGUAGUAUGCUCUGUGGUUGCAGUUUAAACUGAUCUUCCACAUCAGAAAAGAUUUCCUUAGGUAUAUUGAAAGAUUAUGGAGAAAACGGUCGGUGUAGGAGCUUCAACAUCGUCCAUGUGGACAAGACCGACAAUUGCAAAUGCAAGAUUGGCCGUGGAGAUCUUUGAUGGCACGGGCCAUUUUGGUAUGUGGCAAAGUGAGGUUCUAGAUGCCCUUUUUCAGCAGGGUCUAGACAUUGCCAUUGAUGAAGAGAAACCAGAUGAUGUACAGGAGAAAGAUUGGAAGGCGAUCAACCGGUUGGCAUGUGGCACAAUUCGAUCAUGCCUUUCUCGAGAGCAGAGGUAUGCUUUUUCAAAGGAGACUUCUGCAAAUAAGUUGUGGGUGGCACUUGAAGAAAAUUUUUUGAAGAAAAACAGUCAAAAUAAGCUCCACUUGAAGAAAAGACUGUUUCGCUUCACAUACGUCCCAAGUACCACAAUGAAUGAUCACAUCACCAAAUUUAAUCAGUUAGUCACUGAUUUGCUGAAUAUGGAUGAGACAUUCAAAGAUGAAGAUUUGGCUUUGAUGCUGUUGGGGUCACUUCCUGAGGAGUUUGAGUUCCUAGAAACUACUUUACUUCAUGGCAGGAGUGAUAUAUCUCUGAGCGAAGUCUGUGCAGCCUUAUACAGUUAUGAACAGAGAAAGAAGGACAAACAGAAAAACUCAAUCAGAGAUACAGAAGCUUUAGUAGUCCGAGGUCGUUCAUACACUCGGAAGAAAACUCAAAAGGGGAGAUCAAAGUCAAAGUCCAGACUCGGGAAAGAUGAAUGUGCUUUUUGUCAUGAGAAAGGCCACUGGAAGAAAAAUUGUCCAAAGAUGAAGAAUAAGGGAAAAGCUGCUGUAGAUGCUUGUGUUGCUAAGCAUGAUACUAGUGACUCUGAACUAUCACUGGUUGCAUCAUCAUCGUCGUUCCAUUCAGAUGAGUGGAUAUUGGAUUCGGGUUGUACCUAUCAUAUGUCCCCUAACCGGGAGUGGUUCUCUGAUUUAGUAGAACUAAACGGAGGAGUUAUUUAUAUGGGCAAUGACAAUGCCUGUAAAACUGUUGGGAUAGGUUCAAUCCAAUUAAAGAAUAAAGAUGGAUCAACCAGAGUUCUGACUGAUGUUCGGUACGUGCCCAGUUUGAAGAAAAAUCUCAUCUCAUUGGGAGCCUUGGAAUCCAAUGGUUCAGUUGUUACUAUGAGAGAUGGGGUUUUGAAAGUGACAUCUGGCGCACUUGUGAUAUUGAAGGGCAUCAGGAAAAAUAACUUGUAUUACUACCAAGGUAGUACAGUUAUUGGAGCAGUCGCUGCAGCUUCCGGUAACAAAGACUUGGACUCAAUGCAGUUGUGGCAUAUGAAGUUGGGACAUGCCAGCGAAAAAUCCUUGCAAAUUCUGGCAAAGCAAGGAUUGUUGAAAGGUGCAAAGGCUUGCAAAUUAAAAUUUUGUGAGCACUGUGUUCUGGGAAAGCAAAAGAGAGUGAAAUUCGGCACUGCUAUCCAUAAUACAAAAGGUAUUUUGGAAUAUAUUCACUCAGAUGUGUGGGGGCCUUCCAAAACACCUUCGUUGGGAGGAAAACACUACUUUGUUACUUUUGUUGAUGACCUUUCCAGAAGAGCUUGGGUGUAUACCAUGAAAACUAAAGAUGAAGUGCUUGGAGUUUUUCUUAAAUGGAAAACUAUGAUCGAAAACCAGACUGGCAAGAAAAUCAAGCGGCUUAGGACGGACAAUGGAGGGGAAUAUAAAAGUGAUCCGUUCUUCGAUGUGUGCCAAGAGUAUGGUAUUGUUCGACACUUCACAGUUAGGGAUACACCACAAUAGAAUGGAGUGGCAGAGCGUAUGAAUCGAGCAUUGCUGGAGAAAGUUCGAUGUAUGUUGUCCAAUGCUGGGUUGGGCAAGCAAUUUUGGGCUGAGGCUGUGACAUACGCUGGCCAUCUUGUUAAUCGUUUGCCAUCAUCUGCAUUAGAAAGAAAAACUCCUAUGGAGGUAUGGUCUGGAAAACCGGCUACAGAUUAUGAUUCCUUACAUGUGUUUGGAACCACUGCAUAUUACCAUGUGAAGGAGUCAAAGUUAGAUCCGAGGGCAAAAAAAGCUCUCUUUAUGGGAAUCACUUCUGGAGUGAAGGGAUUUCGUCUUUGGUGCUUAAGCACAAAGAAAAUGAUCUGUAGCAGAGAUGUUACCUUUGAUGAAUCUGCCACAUUAAAAAAGGUAGCAGAUAAAGAUAUUCAGACGAGCAAUACUCCACAGCAGGUAGAGUGUACUCCAAAACAGGUGGAGUUUGAGCAGAUGGGGAUUUGCCCAGUUAAUAAGUCUAAUUCUCCAGCCACAAUGGAGGAAUUAGAGGUUGAAGAGGUUCUGACCCAAGAACCACUAAGUACACCAGAACCAGUUACAGUUGCAAGGCCACGGAGAGAAAUUCGUAAACCUGCUCGAUUUACUGAUAUGGUGGCCUACGCCCUUCCCGUUGUUGAUGAUAUUCCUAUCACUUAUCAAGAAGCAAUGCAAAGCUUAGAAAGUGAUAAAUGGAAAAGUGCCAUGGAUGAAGAAAUGCAGUCUCUCCGGAAGAACAAUACUUGGGAGUUGGCGCAAUUACCGAAAGGUAAAAGGGCAAUCGGAUGCAAGUGGGUAUUCGCAAAGAAAGAUGGAUCUCCUAGCAAGAAGGAUAUUUGCUACAAGGCAAGAUUGGUAGCUAAAGGCUACGCUCAGAAGGAGGGAAUUGACUACAAUGAUGUAUUUUCCCCUGUUGUGAAGCAUUCCUCCAUUAGAAUUUUGUUGGCCUUGGUAGCACAGUUGAAUUUGGAGCUAGCUCAACUUGAUGUUAAGACAGCUUUCUUGCAUGGUGAGUUAGAAGAGGAGAUCUAUAUGACUCAGCCCGAAGGAUACACAGAUGCUGGUGGUAGAAAUUGGGUUUGUAAGCUGAACAAAUCGCUAUAUGGAUUGAAGCAAUCCCCGAGGCAGUGGUACAAGCGAUUUGAUAGCUUUAUGAGAAGGCAGAAGUACACAAGAAGCAAAUAUGACAAUUGUGUGUAUUUGCAGAAGCUGCAUGAUGGAUCUUUCAUUUAUCUACUCUUGUAUGUUGAUGAUAUGUUAAUCGCUUCGAAGAGCCAAAAUGAGAUAGAUAAGCUGAAGGCUCAGUUGAAUCAAGAGUUCGAGAUGAAAGAUCUAGGUGAGGCCAAGAAGAUUCUCGGCAUGGAGAUAAGUAGAGAUAGACCGAGAGGCAAGCUCUGUUUGAAUCAGAAGCAAUAUCUGAAAAAGGUAUUACAAUGUUUUGGUGUAAAUGAAAACACAAAACAUGUAAGUACCCCACUUGCUUCUCAUUUGAAACUUAGUGCUCAAUUAUCUCCGAAGACUGAAGAUGAAAGAGAAUAUAUGGCGAAAGUCCCAUAUGCUAAUGCAGUUGGGAGUUUGAUGUAUGCGAUGGUGUGUACGAGGCCUGACAUUUCACAAGCUGUUGGAGUUGUGAGCAGGUAUAUGCAUGAUCCUGGAAAAGGACAUUGGCAAGCUGUGAAAUGGAUUCUACGGUAUCUUCGAAAAACUGUAGAUGUUGGUUUAAUUUUUGAACAGGAUGAAGCAGUUGGUUAGUUUGUAGUUGGAUAUGUUGAUUCCGACUUUGCUGGUGAUUUAGAUAAACGUCGUUCAACUACGGGGUAUCUGUUUACUCUUGCGAAAGCCCCAGUAAGUUGGAAGUCUACCUUACAGUCUACAGUAGCUGUGUCUACUACAGAGGCAGAAUAUAUGGCAGUUACAGAAGCUGUUAAGGAGGCUAUUUGGCUUAAUGGAUUGUUGAAAGACUUAGGAGUUGUUCAAAGUCACAUAAGUUUAUAUUGUGACAGUCAGAGCGCUAUUCAUUUAGCGAAAAAUCAAGUCUAUCAUUCAAGAACCAAGCAUAUCGACGUAAGAUAUCACUUUGUGCGGGAAGUCUUUGAAAAAGGAAAAAUUCUACUUCAGAAGAUUCCGACAGCAGAUAAUCCCGCAGAUAUGAUGACCAAGGUGGUAACAACAAUCAAGUUUAAUCAUUGUUUGAACUUGAUUAACAUCCUGAGAAUUUGAGCACCUUCAGGUGUAUGGUGCUCGAGAGUGCAUUUGUAGGCACUACAAAAGAUAGCUUUAUCGAAUUUGGGGAGUUGAAGGAAGUGUGUGAAGAUGUGAUUAUCCUAAUCAAAUCUUCAAGGUGGAGAUUGUUAACAUUAAUGGGAGACAACAUUAAUGGCAAACAAUACAAAGUGGUGCAAGUUUAGCACCCUAAAGUUGACUUUGAAAAAGUGGCAUGGGAUAAUUUUUUUUUGGUCCUUGAGAUAAUGGGCUAUUUAUUGUUUGGUCCUUGAACCUCAACUAUAAAUAGGCCUUCUCAUUUCUCAUUUCAAUCAUCCCAACCAAUCUUUCUCUCUUAAUUUUCUCUCUUCUCCCAUUUGAGAAUUCUUAAGGAAUUCUAUUUGUUUGUAAUAUUUUGGAGAUAGUAAAGUUAUCAUCUGGUGUUAGUGCCCGAAGACGUAGGUAUAAUUUACCGAACCUCGUUAAAACUCUUGUGUUCUUUCUUGUCCUAUUUUUCUUUCAAUAUUUGAGGGUAUAAUAGUAGUAUUUAAUUGUGCUAUUAAAUUACUAUAGAAGGGAUAUUCUGUCUAAGGAAAGACUUGGUAUUUAAGAGAUCCAUGUGAUCCACCUCUCUUUCCUGGGAAUUGAACUUUGUGUGAUUUUUUAGUACAAUAAUUUACACGCUUCCGACCCUAUUGGAACAACGACCAAACAAUAAAUAGCCCAUUAUCUCAAGGACCAAAAAAAAAUUAUCCCAUGCCACUUUUUCAAAGUCAACUUUAGGGUGCUAAACUUGCACCACUUUGUAUUGUUUGCCAUUAAUGUUGUCUCCCAUUAAUGUUAACAAGAAUCUCAAGGCUUCUCAUAUUUGUCAGUGAUGAUGAGAAGUUUUUCAGCAUGCAAUCAUGACACCACAAAGUUUUAAGAUUUGGUAAGGAAGGGAAUCCUUUCAGUGAGAAGCUGACACGUUGGAGAAGUAAAACUUGGAGGGCUUUCAUUUCUUCAAAAAAUGUACCGAAAACCACUAGGAAAUCAUCUCGCUUACUCUUCCUCUCACCCUCUAAAAACAAAGUUUUGAGCUUUGGAAAUUCCACUUUAUCAGGAAUUUUUUUUAUGAUACUACUACAAUUCCAUAAAGCGAUUGUAGUAUAACUUUCAUCCAUAUGAGGCCAUUCUUACAACGUAUCUUUUACCAUGAACCUAUUUUCUCCCGUUGAUGUUAGCCAAUGAGCAAAAUCUCGAAUCACAUCAUGGAUUCUAAUCGUAUCUGCACCAUCAGUUUCCAAUAACAAGCCAGAUUUUUGGAGUUUUUUUAGUGCUUCAACAAUUUUCUUCCUUUUUUCUUCAAUCGAGUAAAAAUAAGGGAACAAUCCUACUCCAAUUCCGCACAUAAUCAAUAUCUCAGUAAGGAUUUCAUCAUCUUCAGGAAAAAGGGAACACAGUAAGAAACACAUUUGGAUGUGAUUUCCUGUCAUUUGGUUAAUGCCUUUCUUCAAGUAAUCGUAGCUAAGCUUAAGAGGCUCAAGGACACCUCCGAGGACUUCUUCAUCAUACAAAUGCGUUGAGUCCUUGAAUCUCUGGUUUGCGUCUCUCCACCCAUUUAAACUCUCACCUUUUAAACCUUUGGCCACGACAACAAUUGCAAGAGGCAAUCCCUUACAUUGAGCAGCAACCUCUUUGGCUACAUCAUUCAAGGUGGAACAAUCAUCUUCUAAACCAGCUUUAUCUCGAAAUAAAACCCAUGCUUCGUCUUCGGAUAAGAUGCCAAGUUAGAAGUCUCUAUAAGUUUAGAGAUAAUAGGAAUCUUCUCUGCCAGUUUCUUACUUAAGGAAUAUCGCCAGCCCCAUUUAGGACACCAUUUGACACACUUGACGCGAUCUAUUUCAUCUUUCAAGUUCUGGGUUUCUUCUAGUUCUUGCUCAGUGUUAGUGAUAGUAUCUAUUAGAGAGGCAGUUAAGGUUAGCUGAGUUGUUAGCUAAGUAGUUAAGCAAGGAAGUUAUUUUCUUCCUAUAAAUAUAGUCAUUUGGCUUUGUAUUGAACUAAGUAAAUAGAAAGAAUUAACUUCAAAAUAGAUUUGUUCUACAUUCUUCUCUAUUUUACCUAGUUUCUUUCAUGGUAUCAGUCGCUAGGCGUUCUUAGUAAUGGCCACGACAAAUUCUGCUGCCUCUGACUCCGUUGAAUUGAAUGGCUCAGUCUUCACUGCUGAUCGAGUGGUGAACUUGUUUCCUCGGCAUGAGGUCGUGAAGCUUGAUGAAGGGACGUUUCUUCAGUGGAAGCAACAGGUUCGAUUUAUUAUUAAUGGAUAUGAUUUGUUUCACUUUUUGGAUGGAUCUGUGUCUGCGCCGCCGAGAUUUGUACAAGCAUUGGACGUUGCUCUUGUACUUAAUCCGGCGGCAUCUGUAUUUACACAACAGGACAAUCUUAUUACUUCGUGGCUUCUUUCUACGAUAAGCUCGACCAUUAUAUCCUCUUUUAUGGAUGUGCAAUCGGCAUCCGAGGUGUGGACUACGGCGUUGGUGAUGUUUGCCGCCGAUAUGGAUCUACGGCAAGAAAGGCUGCGUCAUGAACUUCACUCCCUCAAGAAAGGGAGUUUGUCGAUCCGGCAGUAUGUUGCCAAGCUCAAGAGUCUGUGUGCACAUUUAGAAGCGUCUGGAACAUCUGUAUCUGUGGCAGAGCGGACGGCGGUCAUGCUUGCAGGUCUUCCGUCUGAGUUUGAAGGCAUGGUGUCCUCUGCUUCGUUGUCACCGACUCCCCUACCGUUUCAGCAUCUGGUGGACGCUCUAAUUGAGUGUGAAACUCGUCAUGUUCCGCCGGAUCAGGAAGUUUUGUACAAUGCAAAUAUGGUAGAAGAAUCAUCAUUGCCGGCCUCGGAUGGUUCUGUGCGUGGGGGUUGUUCGAGUGUGCGUGGCCGUGGUAGGAACUUUCAGCCGCGUCUCCAAUGUCAGAUCUGCUCCCGAUUUGGUCAUGUGGCCCAGCGCUGCUACUAUCGGUACCACCGUGAUGAGGCUUCUCCAGUUCAGUUUUCGAUGCAAAAUUUUGGUGCGUCUGGGGAUCGUGGCUGGUCUUCCUCGCCGAAUACACGGCCUAGAGUUUCAAACUUCGGUCAACCUGGUGGCCCUAGUCAGAAUAAUAUGGCGUCUGGUCAAAAUUACUAUGGUUAUGGUCAAAAUAGUUUUGAAAUUGGUCAAAAUUAUUGUGCUGAUGGAUUUAAUCAAUUUAGUGCACCUUAUGCAGGACAGAUGGGUGGUGGGACCAGGCCAAAUAUUGAAAGUCGUGAGUAUAGGCCACAAUCUUUUGGCCCGAAUGGUGGUUGGCUUAGGCCUAUUGUUGAAAAUCAUGAGUAUAGGCCAUAUACUCUUGGCCCGAAUGGUGGAGAAACUCAUGGUGCAGUUAUUGGAAAUUUUGGGCCGCGUGAUGGGGUUCGUCCGAAUGGUAAUAUUGGGAUAAAUGACACGUUAUUGGAUGCUAACCCUGUUUCGAAUAAUGUGCAGCUUGGUUUGUCUAAACAGGUUGAUAGUUUUGGUGUUCCAUAGCGGACUAAACCACGAGCUCGUGUUUUCUCCGCGUCGAAUCCGUGUUUUGGACUUCCUAGAUUGGGAGAUCUCCAUGCUUCUGAUAAUUCUGAUCCCUCUAUCUCAGGUUCGCAUAUUAACUCUGCACAGUGUGGGGUUCAUGGGGAUGGUUCUGACUCCCCGAUUCCUGGACAAGCUGGCACAACAUCAUGGUAUCCUGAUUCGGGUGCCAGUAAUCAUGUGUGUCAAGAUGAUUCGGCACUUCGUGAUGCUGUUCCAUAUUCAGGUACGUCGUCUCUUUUAAUGGGUGAUGGUACACCUGCUAUGAUAUCCUCUGUUGGUCAAGGUGUUUUGUCUACACAAUCUAGAGUACUUCGGUUGUCCAAUGUUUUGUGUGUUCCGGCUAUUAGGAAAAAUUUAUUGUCCGUAUCACAGUUUGCAACUGAUAAUGAUGUUUUCUUUGAGUUUCACCCCACUUAUUGUGUGAUAAAGGACAACGUGACACGGAAGAUUUUGCUGACGGGCCAUAUACAUAAUGGGCUAUAUCAGUUUUCCAUAACAGAUGCGUCUGUUCCUGUUACGUUUCAUUCGUCUACUGCUCAGGUUGAAAUUCCAACUAAGACUGCUGACAGUGAGUUGUGUUCGUUGUGACAUAAACAUCUUGGUCAUCCAUCGUUGAAUGUUGUUAAGAAUGUUCUUGAUCAAUGUCAAUUCAAAUUCAAUAAAAUUGCUAUGAAUAAAGGUGCUAUGAGUGAUAUUUGUACUGCUUGUAAAAAGGGAAAGUUUCAUAAAUUGCCAUUUUUGGAUUCUAUUACUGAAUAUGCUGAUCUAUUUUCGUUGGUUGUUUCGGAUGUAUGGGGACCUGCUUCAGUUACUUCUGGUUCACAUUGGUAUUAUGUCUCGUUUGUUGAUAUGUGUUCUAGGUUCACUUGGGUAUAUUUAAUACGGCAGAAGUCUCAAGCGGUGACUUGCUUCAUUCAGUUUCAGAAACUAGUUCAGAAUCAAUUUGGCAAGACCAUCAAACAAUUUCAGAGCGACUGGGGUGGGGAAUAUCGAGCGUUUGCUUCAGUUUUGGCGUAUCACGGUAUCAUUCAUCGAGUCACCUGUCCUCAUACGUCUGAACAAAAUGGAGUUACGGAGCGUAAGCAUCGACACAUUGUGGAAAUGGGGCUCAAUCUCUUAGCUCAGGCGGGACUUUCAAUGGAAUUCUGGUCAUAUGUGUUUGCUUGUACAGUUCAUUUAAUAAAUCGUCUUCCCACACCAGUGCUGGAUGGUAAGACCCCGUAUAGAGUCUUGUAUGGGCGCGACCCUACUUAUGAUCAUUUACGUAUUUUUGGAUACUGUUGCUACCCGUAUUUGCGCCCAUUUCAGCGUCACAGGUUGGAUUUUCGAUCUCAACCGUGCACAUUUUUGGGGUAUAGUUCGUGUCACAAGGGUUACCAAUGCCUUUUACCUGAUAGUUGAAUCAUUGUCUCUCGUCAUGUUGAGUUUGAUGAGGCACGUUUUCUCUCUCUGACGACUCUACGGUCUGCUAGGAAGGUGAGUACGGUUUCUACCUGUUUUCCUGUGCUCAAGAAUAAUUUGUCUUGUCGUCAAAACUCCAGUACUAGUUCUGUGUGCCCAUGUCCAAGUAUUUUGAAUGAGCAUUUGAUUCCUCAGAAUGGUGAAGAUAUGGUUCCAACAAAUGCUAAUUCUCCUAAUGAACCGUCUUUGAAUGGGGUUUUGAUUCCUCAGAGUAGCGUAGAUGUGGAUCCAACAAAUACUAAUUCUCCUAGUAAUUCCUGUCAUAGUAGUUCAUCAUAUUCUGGUGAUCAGUCUCCCACACCAGUUGUUCCAAUUCCAUCUGUUCCUACAGGACCAGAGAUUUCUAUACCUGAUGUGAAUGUUCAUCCCAUGACUACUAGGUCAAAGGCUGGUAUUUUUAAACCUAGAGUGCUUGCUGUUGAAGUUGUAGAACCGGCAACGAUUGAGGAGGCUUUUGCGAGCCCUGAGUGGCAGUCUGCUGCUCAAGCUGAGUAUGAUGCCCUGCUUCGUAAUGGUACCUGGGAACUGGUCCCUUUACCAUCGGGUCAUAAAGUUAUUGGUUGCAAAUGGUUAUUUAAAGUUAAGAAAAACCCAGAUGAGAACGGUAUAAAGCACGUCUGGUUGCGAAAGGCUGUUCUCAAGUUCCAGGUUGUGAUUUUCAAGAAACAUUUAGUCCAGUAGUAAAACCCGCCACUAUAAGGGUUAUAUUGUCAGUUGCAGUUACUAAAGGAUGGUUGCUUCGACAAGUUGAUGUUAACAAUGCCUUCUUGAAUGGGGAUGUUGAUAGUAAAGUGUUCAUGCAACAACCUCCUGGUUAUGUUAAGCUUGGGGUUGAUGGGAGACCCUUGGUUUGUCGGUUAAAGAAGGCUUUGUAUGGUUUGCGUCAGGCUCCAAGAGCUUGGUUUGAGAAGUUGAAAGCAUUUCUAUUGACGGUUGGAUUUGCUGGUUCAAAAUCAAAUGCGUCUUUGUUUGUGCGAGUUCAAUCUGACUGCACUAUCUAUGUUCUUGUGUAUGUUGAUGACAUAAUCAUAACUGGGGAUGUACCGUCAUCUAUUGACUGGUUUGUGACGCUGUUGAAUGUUGAAUUCUUGUUGAAAGAUAUGGGUGAUUUGCAUUAUUUUUUGGGAAUUGAGGUUACUCGGUCCUCUUCCAAGUGUCUUCACUUGUGUCAGAAAAAGUACAUCCGGGAUUUGUUGAAUCGUAGUGGUUUGUCUAAUGCUAAAAGUGUUCAUACGCCCAUGAUUAGUUCGUUACAUAUUUCUAAGAGUGACGGUGAUCCUCAAUCUGAUCCAACAGAGUACAGAAGUUUGGCUGGUGCAUUACAGUGUGUCGUCAUGACUAGGCCUGAUAUUGCAUAUGCAGUGAACAAGAUUUGUCAAUUCAUGCAUAGUCCGACCACAGUACAUAUGGCAGCUCUUAAGAGGAUAUUGCGAUAUUUGCCUGGUACUCUUGAUUUUGGAAUUGUUUUUCGUCAAUCUGAUUCUUUGUCCUUAGUUGGUUUUUCGGAUGCAAAUUGGGGGUUGGAUUUUGAUGACCGGCGGUCUACUUCGGGAUAUUGUGUAUUUUUUGGGUCCAAUCCUGUGUCAUGGUCCUCUAAGAAACAGAAAGUGAUGUCUCGGUCUACGGCCGAAGCUGAAUACCGAAGUCUGGCUGCCGUCACUAGUGAUAUUUUGUGGAUACGUUCGUUACUUCAAGAGUUACAUAUUGGGUUACCUACUCAGCCCAAUAUUUGGUGUGAUAGCUCCAGUGCAGUAGCUGUUGCUGCCAAUCCUGUGCUACACUCUAAGUUUAAACAUGUGGAGUUAGAUUUAUUCUUUGUUCGUGAGAAGGUUGCCGAUGGCUCUAUUUUGAUCGGGUAAGUUCCUCCGUCCAAUCAAGUUGCUGAUGUUUUAACUAAACCACUGUCUGUUUCGUAUUUUUCUCGGUUUAGAUCUUUUCUUCGGGUUGUUCCCGUAGAGAAGAUGGAUGCAUGUUAGUGAUAGUAUCUGUUAGAGAGGCAGUUAAGGUUAGCUGAGUUGUUAGCUAAGUAGUUAAGCAAGGAAGUUAUUUUCUUCCUAUAAAUAUAGUCAUUUGGCUUUGUAUUGAACUAAGUAAACAGAAAGAAUUAACUUCAAAACAGAUUUGUUCUACAUUCUUCUCUAUUUUACCUAGUUUCUUUCACUCAGCAUUUCUAAGCCAGUCCUUAACGUCAUCAUAGAUGAUCUCAGUUUGCCUUUUAGCCUUAUUGACAUGAGUGUCCACCCUCUGUUUCCUCAAUUUAAGUGCCAUUCGUUGAUUCUUGAAAUCUUCAACAAUCUCUCCAUAACGGAAAAAGUAACGGAGAUAGGGUGAUGCGUAUUCCUUUGCCUGGUCUGCCACAAUUUCGACAGCAGCAGGGGCAACAUAUUCGGCCAUUUUUGUUGAUAGUCUGAUGAGGUUGAACAAAAACAUUGGUUAUUAGUAAGAAGAUUAACAUAAAGAGAAAUAAAAGCAAUUGUGACAAAUAAAAUCAGUAUUUGUAGUAAAAAAUGGAGUGGAAGCUACCAAAUAAGCAGUAAAUAUUGAUGUAAACCAAAGAUGUUAUUAAUGAAGAAGGUAGAAAUUACCUCUCUUUCUGUCUGUGAAUACCAGAAAGUAAAUAGAGUUUGAGAGAAAUAAGUAGCUGUAAAAGAUGAAAAGAAUGGAUUUAGUGCAGGUAAUAGAAAAAUAAUAAUAAUAAAAUUGAGAGCAUGUUUUAACCUUCACACAAAAAAUAAAUAAUUAAUUAAUGUAAUGCAAAUAAUAUAACCAUACAUGCACACUCAAUCCUAAUUACUCUUCCCAUUAUAUUCAUUCUAAAUCGGAGCUAUAAUUUGUAUGUGAAAUACCAUCAUCUUCUUUCAAAAACAAUUUCUCAUAAAGAAAACCUAAAAAGAUUACAUUCUCUUAAACAUAUUUUAUAUUUAUUUCUACAUUUUCGAUUAUAGAUUGGAUGCUUUUAAGUUCCUAUCGAAUUAGAGUUUGUGUGCUCUCUAAAAUGUUUAAUGAAAAAAACGAGAAGACUAAUGAAUGGAGAAAGGACACUCUUCAUUUGCCCCUUUCGUGUUUGAUCCGCAUGUUAUAUACUUCAACUCUAAGUAAAAUCUAAUUCGAUUUAAAAAUUUUGAUUUAACUAGUUCGAGUUAUUUGAGUUAACUAAGUUAUUCGGAUAAACUCGAAUUGACUCGAAUAUGAAUUACACAAUUCGAGUUAUCCGAAAAAUCCGAAAAUCUAAAUUAGAAAAGGCAAAACUAUGUCGUUUUGAUAAAUAUGUACCUUUCUAAAGUUAAAAAUCAAAACCAUUAAGUUAAAAGGUAAAAUUACGUCAUUUUGAUAAAUAUUUACUCAUUAAAUUAAGAGGCAAAACCAUUAUAUUGUAUAUAUAGUUAAUAAUAUUGUACUUCGUCUGCUAGUUAAACAAUCGAUCCAUGUAAAUGCAACAUUGAAUAUAAAUAAUAGGAUUGGUUAACUCGACUCAAAUUGACUCGAAAUUUUUUACUCUAUUUGAUUUGGUUAAAAAAAAUAAAAUUGAAUUUGGUUGCUAAGAUAGAUUCAUCAACUCGACUAGCUCGAAAUUUUUCGAUUCGACUCAACUUAAUCAAAUACUCAUCCUAGUUCCAAUGUUCUUGUUCUAGUUUGUUCAAUCUUUAAAAUGAAUAUAUAAACUCUUUAAUUAAGACAGAAACUUGUAUGAAACCUUUUUUUUAUGAAAAAUAAAAUCACAAGUGAUUUAAAAUGACUCCAACCAAACUAAUAGAAAUUUGAGAAGGCCAAUAAAUAAAACGGAGAUCCACUCAACAAAAACAUGAAAAUAUAUAGCAAGGAAGAUGAGGAGCAGUUCCAUAAAACUUACCUUCACUGAACUAUCCUCUGCGCUGGUUCUUUUGCCAAGUGGAAAUCAAGGUAUGAAGAAAGUUUGGUUUUCAGAAAUAAAAGAAAGUUUGCAGAUUUUUUUUUUUUUUUGUUUUUUUCCCCUUAAUUGAGACAAUACAAGGAAAUGACCAGAAACACAGAUGUGAGAAUAUGGAAGCAAAAAAGGAAAUGACCAGAAACACAGGUUUGAGAAUUAGAAAGCAAAAAACAAAGAGUGGAAAUGAUGAGAAACAGAGGUUUGAGAACUUGGAAGCAAAAAACACAUUGGAUGAGAAACAGGUUUUUUUCCCUUAAGUGUUUUUAUGCACUUUUUAAUAUUUUGAAAUCUCAUAAGGCCAAAUUGGACCUCGAGAGCGACUAAUAGGCUAUUUCAGUGUGUAGGGUGUCAAUUCAAGCCCUAAAAUAUAAAGGACAACAGACUUCAUUAGGAAACUUUUGACUUAAAUUCCUAAUUUUUAUUAUAUAAUUUGACUUAAAUUCCUUUUUUUUUCGUUGAAAUAGACACACCCUAAUUUUCCCAAGUUGAUAUGAAUUAUAACUUGAUUUGCUUUAGAAUUUAUAUGAAUUCUAAUUUUUUUUUCUUGAAAUAGGCACUAUAGGCUCACUAUUAAUAUUUAAUUUAUUUUUACUUUUUUUUAAGUUAAGUCCUAAUUUAAUUAAAACACACUAUUUUCAAAUUAGACCUCUUAAUUAGAUUUCGUUUUAGAUUAAUACAAUAUGAAUUUUAAAUUGAUGUACCCAUAAAAAUAAAUAAAUUGAUCUCUCGGACAAAAAUUUAAAAGAAAUUAAAAUAAUUUAUAAAAAUCCAAAAAGGAGUAACCAUGGUUAAGCCAUGUAAUUAGAGCAGAACAAAUAUUUAGUUCACAGCAUGAAUAUGAAUUUGAGUUUAGUUUUCUUUACGCUCCUCAAAUAAUGGUGAGAAAUUACUACUUACCGAGAUUGUGGGUUUCUUCGGUACUUUUUAGGAAUUGUCAAUGAAGUCUUCACUAUUUUAUGAUGGAUAAUUAAUUAUGAAGACCAAAUUUAAGUGUUCACCUUUUUAUUAGUUUAAUGGUGGUUAAGCCAUGUGAGCAAGUAUUUCACUUUUCUUUGCGCUCCCCAAAGAAAUGAAGAAAAGAAAAGAGAAUAAAGAUUAUAGGUUUGUUCACCACAUUGGCUAGUGGGACAGGCAUUGCUGAAUGAAUUGAAGGAAAGAAUAAAGAUGAUGACAAGUCGUGAAACAAAGAUUGUCGGUUUCUUCACCACUUUGGCUUGAAGGACAGGCAUCGUACACAAAGAAUGAAUAAGGAAUAUGGUUUCUUCACCACUUUGGCUAGGCAUUGUUGAUGCUGUUUCUUUUUACUAUUUUUAAUUUAAGAAUGGAAGAAAAAGAUAUAUUUUCCUUACAAUGAUUAGAAUUAAAUAAACUAAAGCCAACCUUCAUUUCAUUAAAAUAAACUAAAGCCAACUUAAAUUAAAUAAACCGAUGUCAAGAUGUUUUAGUUUCAGGUUAAAUUUUAGUUUCAGUUUCAAAUCCUUCAUUCAUAAUAAGUACUCUUCUCUUUCAAUUGAUAAGUUUAUUAUAAUGAUUGAAGAUGUCUUAGACUACCAAUCUUUAUGUGUAAAUUAAUUGCGGGAUCGCCUAACAACUAACCUAUUCCAAAUGAACAACCACAAACACGAACACGUGUACACGAUUUAACUCUUCGAUAGCCUUGUGAACUAGAAGGGUUUGACUCGAAUCAAUAGCCUCGACUGCGUGGACUGUUUAAAUUCGAUUGCUAUUUCCCUUGACGAAUCCAACCACUCACUAAAUUGGACAAGCCAAUGUGUUAUUCAAUAAAUCGAAUACAACAAUCGAUCGUAUCGAUUCUUCCAACUAGAAGCCGCACAACAUCAGAUUAAUGAGUUCUUUUUGAUUUUAUGUCAAUAUGACUUAUGAAACGACGGAAUUUAUCUCUUUAAUCGGAAAAAUAACAAAUACCAAUAUGAAAAAUUUAGAUACGAUUUUAGAUCUUGUGACUCUCUCCUGAAUUGACUAAUCGCCUAAAGCCAGAUCAAGCAAAUUGAUAAAAAUAAAGAACGAGAAAAGAAAAUAAUCCAGGGGAAAAACUUUAUUGAAAUUAAAAAUAAAAGGACAAAGGUUUAACAAAGUUCAUAUGAAUAGUUGACUAAACAUAUUGUUGGAUUACUUAAAGUUACACCUUUCUAUAUUUAAUUUCCACACACUUCAUGCAAGAAAAGAGCACUCAAGAUACAUAAAAUUUAUUAUUUUAUUAUUUUAUUUAAAAUCUUCAAUGGCUUUGCCAUCUAAAUAUUUUUCUUUUAUCACAGUAUUUAAAUUUAUUUUUGGUGAUAAGUGAUACAUAAAAUUUUUUCCCUAAAAUUAUCUCUAAUUUAAAAGUUAGACAUUAGAAAUUAAAUUCUGAAUAUCUUUAAUGCCAAUUAAAUGAUCAACCUUAUUAUAAUAAUUAGACUUGUCACUCAAACAUGAAUGUUUUUAUUCGUAUCAUUUUCAACCUUUGUUAGUCAAACAAUCAAUCGAACUAUUACAUCUAUUUUUUUAAAUGGUACCUAGACUCUGUCAUUUUUCUCAUUUUGGUAUCAUUUUUUGGUCACAAGUGCUACCUAAACUACUUUUUCCCCAAAUCAAUACUUUUGUUGCUAGACAAACUGUUAAGUCUAUUUUUUUAAAAAAAUAUAACCAAUUAAAAAUUAUCAUUUUACAAAAAAAGAUAAAAGAUAUUUUUUAUUUAUAUAAUUUAAAAAAUAUUAAAUUUUCAUAAAAAUUUAAAAAUUAAAAAUAGAGAGAUUUGGUUCAACUAGGUUUUUACCUUCAUUCAACUGAUUCGUAUUGAUUCGCGGGUAAACCAGUUUAACUCUUAUCUCUGAAUUGAUUUAAGUUUGAAGACAAAAUUAAUUGUGUACUACUUGAUACUUAUGUGUAACUCUAAUUUUUCUUGGUAAUUCAGUGUGGACAAAUGUAGUGAAGUGUUUAUGAUAUAACUCUAGAAACGUAUAUAAGCCCCCAAUUGAAACAGAGAAUUGAGGUCUGCUUAAGAAAAUUGGGUUAUUGUUGGGGGGUGGUGUUAUGGUGUAUUAGAGUUUUAGGGGUUUUGAUUGUAAGAGCUGCUUGUGAAUGUGCUAUUUGGUGUUUCAGUAUGACCUCCGAUUUUGAAUCAUUAAUCCUUUGGUUGGUUUUCCUUUUUGGGGGAUUAAUCAUCUUUUACAUCGGCUUUUAUUAAUAUAUAUAUAUACAUACUAGUUUAAAUAUCACAUGUGGCAUAUGUGAUUAUUAUGAGAUUUCAAUAUAAUAAAUUAAUUUAAUAGUUUGCAUACAAAUAUUUAAAAAAAAAGAAUUUAAGAAAAUUUUUGAAGUUGAAUUCAAUAUAUAUAUAAAUAUAAAAAUAAUUAAUUUAAUAAAAUUUUAAAAUUAGAUUCAAAAUAAAAAUACAUAAAAUAAUAAUAAAAUUUAUAUCAAAUUCCUGAAAAUUAAAAACUAUUUACUUUUAUUUUUUUAAAUACAUAAAAUACCAAACAAUUGAAAAUCAAAAAAAUAAAAAGCUAUGGAAAGCUAUAUAAAAUUCUCAAAAAUAAAAAAAAUACUUCUCUUCUACAAAUAUAGAUAAAAAUACCAAAAAAAAAAAAGAGGCAUGAUCCACACGGCCACAGUCUGUCACACGAUAGUGUAACCCCUUCGCAUGGCUGAAGGCAUUGCACACAGCCAUGUGCCCCUAUUUUAAAUUUUUACCUAAAAUUUUAUGAUUUGUUCAGAUUAGUCCCUGAACAAUUUUUGAACUAUUUUUUUAGUGUUUUAUUUUUAUUCAAUUAAGUCCCUAAUAAUAUGGAAAAUGUUAGAAUCCAUGACAUGAUUGACUAAAUUAAUGUUAUAUAUAAUUGUCUGGAUUGUGAAUGAUAUAUAUGUUUAUUAUAUAAACAGAGCCAUGUACAGAGCCAUGUUGUGCUCUAUCUAUAAGUAUAAACAGACAAUCAAAAUAAAUUUCACUUCUUCUUGAAUGAUUUGAUUACAUAGAGAGUGACAUUCUUUAGAUCUUAUGCAUGUUUUGAUUUAUAUAUAAGAAUGGAUGCGAUAUUAUAUAUUUGUUAUAAAUUGUUUUUUAUUGUCAAGGUUGUGGUUCUUAGGAAAUAGACCGUGGAAUAUCAUCUCCAUGUAGGGCUAUUUUUUUAAAAUUCAUAGAAUUCUUGUUAAUAAAAAACGGACAUAAGACUUAAAUCACUACAAGAAAUUAAGCUUUUAACAGCAUUUUUAGUGGCGUUUAGACCAAAAAUGCUGCAAAAGUUAUACAUUAGUGGCACUAAUUGAAAAACGCCACAAAAGGUUAGAGCUAUAGCGGCGUUUAUGAGAAAAACGCCACAAAAAGUCCAGCAUUAGCGGUGUUUUAAAAAUCAUUUUAUUUUAAACAAAACAGCUCCGUUUUGCUCCGUGUAUUCUCACCCAUCAUCCAAGUGGCCAUCAUGUAUUGUUUUCGACAACUCAUGCACUCUUUCAUCCUCUUCUAUUUAUUAUGUAACUAGUUUCUUUAUAUUAAUUAAAAUACAAUUUAUUUUUAAUUUAAUAUUAAAAAUCUUCAGAAAAAUCAAUGACACGUAAAAAACAUUUGAAAGUAAAAACAUAGAAAAUAUAUGUUAAAAAUGAAAAAAAUUAAAAUACUAUUAAUAAAAAUAAUUUUAUCUGCUAUAACAAACUGAUUUCUAACCAGAAGAUUUUGAUUGGGGAUUCUAGUUAACAGAGAGGCUUGACUCCUCCUUUUGUAGAUGAUGACCUAAUUGAGAUAGUUGGAUUUAGAAAUGUCCUGCAUGGUCUUGUUUUGCUUGCUCCAGAUGGACAUGGGACUCAUUUAGCACAGGUAGAACAAGAAGGUUCAUGACUGGUUUGCACUCUUUAACCUCAGGGAUUUUGAAAUUUUGGAGAUUAGACUGUAUUUGGGAAUUUGAAGAAAUAGCGAAAAUUGUAGCUCCUAACUAGAUUAGGUUCAUUGAUUAUGAAUGUUGUUGUAAUGCAGAUGAAUGGAAUGAAUGCAAAAAGAGGCGUUGAUUCUGAUUCAAUUCAAUUAGAACAACUUUACUAGAAUAAAUUGAAUAAAUUGAAUUAAAUUGAAUCAGACCCUUUGUUUUGAAGAAGUGAAAUGCAAUACCCAGUGAGUUAGGAUACAACAUUUCUAAUUCUCGAAAUUAAACUUGUCUUCUGACUUUAAAAACUCAUGAUUUUAGGUUUGAGAAGGAUACUCGGUUAUUUAGGUUAAAUAAAAAAUUGGAACCCAGUGAGUUAGGGUUCAAUUUCUCAAAAUUCCCAAAUACAAAAUAUUACCUGCUUUUUUGAAAUCCUUACCUCAAGGUAACAAAAUGUCACAUCCCGUGAGUUAGGAUACAACCCUUUUGGAAUUCCCGAGAUAAAUUUUGGUUUUUGAAAUUGGUACGAUUUUAUUGAAAAAGGAUACUCGGCUAUUUAAAUUCAAUAAAAAAAUUGAAGCCCAGUAAGUUAGGGCACAAUCUUCUCGAGAGUCUUGGACCCCGAGUAUCUUGAAAAUUUCGAAAUAAAACUACCUUAAUGUUUUAAUGAAGCGUAAUCUUCAAAACAAAUGUAGUGCGAUUGAAUGGUAACGCAUAAUACGAAAGGAUAAUUUGUAAAUAAAACAUACACCAAGGAAUGAUGAAUAAAUAAUAAAAAAAUUCAAGAAGCUUAGCAAUGAUUAUCUCAUGCGAACACCAACAUUAGCUAAUAGGAGGAAACUAAUUUAAAAUUGAGCAAAUUUACAUAAACACCAAUAAAGUGUACAAGUUUAAACACCAUUUAAGAAACAAAUGACAUGAAAGAAGGUAAACUGAAAUUCGAAAUAGAUUUUACAUGAAAUUGUAAUACGCAAAUGAAUUCUAAAGUAAAUAUGGUAUAAGUAGAAAAUUAAAAUUUAUAAUAUAUAAAACAAUACACAUAUUAAUUUAAAUAAAUAAUACAUAUUAAAUGAAGAGUUUGAUAAUAAUAAAAACAAUAAUAUAUGUACAUAAUAAUAAUACAAUAUGGUUGAAAUAUACAAAAUAAGUAAAGGAAGUUUAAAAUAAAUAAAUUAUAAAUGUAACUUAACUUUAAACCUAUAAACUUAUUUAAAAGAAAGCCAAAAGAUGAUAAUUAUAAUAAGGGUAAACUAUUAAAAUAGUCACUUUUGUUUGGUUCAGGUUACAUUUUAGUCAUUUAUGUUUGAAAUGUUACGUUUUAGUCACUUAUGUUAUCAUGUUGUAACAUUUUAGUCACUGAGCCGUUAAUUUCUGUUAAUUGUGUAACAAUAAGCUGAUGUGGCACAUUACAUCAUCAUUUCAAACAAAAAUUCUAGGUUAAUUUAUACAAUCGGUCCCCAUAUUUUUUCGUUUGGAGAAAUUUAAUUUUUUUCUUUUAUUUUUUUUAACUUUCUUUCUUUUCCAUUCUCUUAUGCUUCUCCCUUUGUUUUCCUCCUUUCUCCAUUUCUUUCGACGUAGUUUUGCUAUGUUUUAUUUUUUUGAAAAAUUUAAUUUUUUCGAGUGAGGCGAGCUUGUGGACUAGUUACAAAUGGAAAACAUAGAAAAACUAUGUUAAAAGAAAUGAAGAAGGGAGGAAAAUAGAGGUAGAAGCAAAAGAGAAUGGAAAAAAAUUUUAAAAGAACUUAAAAGAAAAUUUUAAAAUUGUUUAAAAUGAAAAAAUAUAGGGACCAAUUGUAGAAUUUAACCUAAAAUUUUUGUUUGAAAUGAUGAUUUAACAUGCCACAUCAGCUUACCGUUACACCAUUGUUGGCAAUUAACGACUCAGUGACUAAAAUGUUACAACACGAUAACGUAAGUGACUAAAAAGUAAUAUUCCAAACAUAAGUGACUAAAAUGUAACCUAGGGCAAACAAAAGUAACUAUUUUGGUAGUUUGCCCUUAUAAUAAUAGGAAAACAAUAAUAUGUUCAUGAAAUAAAAAAAAAAAUCAAAAGUGCAUGUAUAUGAUAGUAUGGUAUGAAAGUAUUAUUAUAACUUUUGGAAUAUAGGAAUAUAAAAGAGAAUUUAAAAAAAUAAAUAAAAGAUUAAAAAAACUAUAUCAAAAGAAUAUACGAAUCAUAAAAUAUGUUAAAUCUAAGUAAUAAUAAACGAAAACUUAAAAUUGUAAUAUAUGAUAAAUAAAAAACAACUACAAAGAUAAAUAUAAACAAUGUUAAUGAUUUUGGUGAUAAAUUCAAAUAAUAUCACUAAUCUUAAAGCAUAUGGAAAUAUUAGAUUUAAAACUAAAUAUAUAGAAAACAAUAUGCAUUUAAUCCAAUAAAAAAAAUAAGAUUAAAUUGGAUUUGAAACCAAAUUAAAGAGAAAAUUCGCAAAUAAAAUAAAAUCGAGGGGACAAAAUGCAGUGUGCUAAUAAUAUGGGGGACCAAUGGGGAAAUAACCCCUGUCCCUCCAAAACGCGACGUACAGCCUGGGCCAAAAUGAAACAAAAGCAAAAUGCAGUAUGGAAUUUACAAAUAAAGAAAAACUGAUUCGAAAUCACUAUGAAAGAGGGAGGACCAAAUUCGAAAAUAACUCUAGCAGGGCCACAACACGCGGAUCUCAGCCGCCUCUGGGUCGGGUCAGUCGGGUAUGGCCUUAUACGAUGCCGUUUUGGGGCCACUGAAGCAGGUCUCAAACGAUGUCGUUUUUAUUACUUUAUAAAAUCCCAAACCAAAACCUAAUCAGAAUUAUUUUUUCACUUCUAAGGAAAAUAAAACCAAACCCUAGGCUAUCCUCUCUCUGCCGUUCCCAGCCGAAACAACAGCCCCUUCAACUCUGAUAUUAACAGAGCAGACAAAGGCCGACGGCGGACUAGUAGAGGUAAAUCUUCUCUCCUCCUUCCUUUCGUUUUAUAUUUUAAUAAAAAGAUGAUAAAACCAAGAGCAAAAAAAAAAGAUAGAAUUUGAAAAAUCAUCUUGAAAUAACAAAGCUAGUUGAUUUGUUUUUUAUAUUUUCGUAUCCAGUAUCCGUUUUACAAAUUUGCUAUUUUCUCUUAUUAUUUUUCUAUUAUUCUGUUAUUUCUUUGCAAGGAUGCAGCCAAUCUGGAGGCAGAGGCUCACGUGGGGAAGGAGCGGCGCGCUGGAGGCUUGUAGGCUAGGGUUUCUGCAGGCUUAGUUUGUUUACAGGGCUAGGUUUAACUAGGUUUACUUUAUUGGGCUCGGGGUUAAUUUGAGUUUUAGAUUUAGUGUUUUGGGUUAGAGUCUAUAUUAGGUAGUGAGUUUGGGCUUUAAAUUUGGGUUUGUAAAAAUAAAUUGGGUUGUUUUAUUAUUUUAUAUUGGACCGGGCAAUAUUAGGUCAUUACAUAAAUAUUGAUAAAAUUAUAUCGUAUCGAUAUUAUCGAUAAAAUUAUUGAAGAUAUUACCUUUGUACUGUUUUGAUUUUUGUGCCCGAGAUGCAAUCUUUCUCCUUGUUUAGAGCCCAUGUUUGUAAGGCGUGCCAAAAGUUGAACUUUGAAUUAAAAACAUAAUAUUUAAAUUCUAAAUUUCAAUUUAUUAAUUUUUAUAUUUAGUUUUAAAGUUAAAAUUUUAAUAGAAAAUUUAAUUUAAUUAAUAUUUUUUAUUUAGUAUAUAGUUUAAAGUUUAAAUUUUAAAAAUAAAACAAAAUAAAAUAUUUUAUCAUAGAAAUAAAUAUUAUUUAAUUAAAUUUUUUUUAAAGGUCAUGUUUUUUAGUUACGUUUGUCGGAAAAGCAUCGCUACAUGUCAUGUUUUAUAGCGACGUUUGUGGGAAAACGCCGGUAAAGGUCAUGUUCUAUCAUACACAAAUUAUAUCAGACAAUUAACUAAAAACAUCUGAGCAACAUUGCUCCACCUACUGAUGUAACAUGGCUCUGAAAGCUACCCUAAAAUCAUCCAUUCUUUCAUGUAAUGUGUGGUAGUUGACUCUCAUCGCCACCAUCGGCUCCAAUCUAUAUUCUCGUUGAAAAUUGCAUUUUGAACAGUGGUAGAUUCUUCAACCGCAUCUUGCUCAACCAUCUGAGGUGCCUUAGAAAACAAUUGAAGAAAAAUUUAUAACUGAAACUUUAAUCUCAUGUCAUCAAGGAAAAAAAAUAAGAAACACAUAUAUACUCAAGGAAUUUAAUUAAAAAUUUUGCAUGUUAUGCCUUCAGUUGUAAUUGUUAUAAUUACAUAGAAUAAAGUACGAUUAAAGGGUUGUAGGAUAUAUACCUUUGUUUUGCAAUGUACAAAUUCUUGUGAAUCAAUGAAGAAACCAAUAGUCAACCUAGGGCAAUCUUUUACUUUCAACUUUAUCAUUGCUGGGAAUACAGAAUGAUAUCCUUUGGGAGAAAAGUGAAUGAGGCCAGGUAGUUCUACAAGUGAUAACCAUUUUAAUUUAUCAAAUUUCAUCUCCUCUUUAGCUACCACUUCCACUUUUUCUUCUAAUUCGAAUACUUGCUCCAAUUUAUAAUUCCUUUUAACUAUGAGACUUUCAAGCUUUGGAAGAACAGGAGCAAAUCUAAAAGGAAAGAGACUGUUCAAAUUUUUACAAUUUGUGACAACGAUCUGAGUCAAAUUUGGAAAGCUCAUAGGUUGGAGGCUAGUAUCACCAUUUGAUGAUGAUGAAGAAACUUGAUCCUUGGCUAAAAUGAGUCGUUCUAUUUCCUCACACCUCUCGAUGAAAAGAUCCUCCAAAUGUGAU